GCCAGCCCGCUCAGAACUUAAAUGAAUUGACGGGGCCGCACAAGCGUGGAGUAUGUGGUUUAAUCGAUGCAACGCGAAGAACCUUACCUGGUCUUGACAUCCCGGAGACCCUUAGGAAACUAGGGGGUGCUUCCAUCUGGAAGAAUCUGGAGACAGGUGCUGCAUGGCUGUCGUCAGCUCGUGUCGUGAGAUGUUGGGUUAAGUCCUGCAACGAGCGCAACCCUUGCCUUUAGUUGCCAGCAGUUCGGCUGGGCACUCUAAAGGGACUGCCGGUGUUAAACCGGAGGAAGGUGGGGAUGACGUCAAGUCCUCAUGGCCUUUAUGACCAGGGCUACACACGUACUACAAUGGCCGAUACAAAGGGCAGCGACACUGCGAGGUGAAGCCAAUCCCGUAAAAUCGGUCUCAGUCCGGAUUGGAGUCUGCAACUCGACUCCAUGAAGUUGGAAUCGCUAGUAAUCGUGGAUCAGCAUGCCACGGUGAAUACGUUCCCGGGCCUU
rnacentral:rRNA from 1 species